AAAACAAUUUCAUUUGCAAAUAUUCCGAUGAGAAACCAACAGCUCCUUCUACAAGGCCAGGAGGUGCAGGGCCAAAGGCAGUAACACCCAUGCUUCCAGGA